UGGGGAAUAUUGCGCAAUGGGGGGAACCCUGACGCAGCCAUGCCGCGUGAAUGAAGAAGGCCUUCGGGUUGUAAAGUUCUUUCGGUAUUGAGGAAGGUUGAUGUGUUAAUAGCACAUCAAAUUGACGUUAAAUACAGAAGAAGCACCGGCUAACUCCGUGCCAGCAGCCGCGGUAAUACGGAGGGUGCGAGCGUUAAUCGGAAUAACUGGGCGUAAAGGGCACGCAGGCGGUUAUUUAAGUGAGGUGUGAAAGCCCCGGGCUUAACCUGGGAAUUGCAUUUCAGACUGGGUAACUAGAGUACUUUAGGGAGGGGUAGAAUUCCACGUGUAGCGGUGAAAUGCGUAGAGAUGUGGAGGAAUACCGAAGGCGAAGCNAGCCCCUUGGGAAUGUACUGACGCUCAUGUGCGAAAGCGUGGGGAGCAAACAGGAUUAGAUACCCUGGUAGUCCACGCUGUAAACGCUGUCGAUUUGGGGGUUGGGGUUUAACUCUGGCGCCCGUAGCUAACGUGAUAAAUCGACCGCCUGGGGAGUACGGCCGCAAGNUU
rnacentral:rRNA from 1 species